rnacentral:lncRNA from 1 species
AUCUCUGAGUUAGAGUAAACUGCCAAGACUUAAAACUUACUUUACCUUCACCAUGGGACUUGUAACCGUCACUUCUGUCUUGAGAGGUUAAAAGAUAGAACAGUCUAGCCAAGUGCCAUGUCUCUUAUUCUUGAUCAGCUAUAGCUCUGGGGUUUUUGCAGAUUUUCAAAUAAAACUCAGAGAUUCCUUGUAUGACUCUCUCAUAUCUCUCUUUUGUGGUAUUUCUGGAUCCUUACCAAGGCAUUGAUGGUAUAUGCCUUCUCUCAAGAUAUGUGGUAUUUGUGGUAUAAAGCAUAGUGACAUUGCCUUCUCUCUCACCCUACUCUAAUAAGGCUUGAUAGCUGGAGCUCAUAGGUGGGAGACAACUAAUACAUACUUACUAGACAUUUAUUGCAUAGUCAAACCAUGGAUCCAGAGAAACAAAUCAAUAAGCCAAAUCAAGAUGUGCAUGUGUGGCGAAUGAAUGGUGUAUGGUGAUGAUGGUAAUAACAAUGGUGAAAGUCUAAUUCUACUUUUGCUCUUUUGAGGGGAUACAUACCUUCCUUGCUUUUUGAAACUUUAUGAGAAGAAUGAGAUGCUCUUCUUUUUCUUUCCUCUCAGGUGGGUAUCUUGUACCCCUAAUUCUACUGUCGAACACUUGUCCAUUUUUACCUCUCGUCUCACUUUUUCUUUCUUUCGAGGUUCCCGGCACUUGCCCCUUUUUAUUUCCUCGUUUAUAUUUUUUUUUUCAGAGCACUCAUCUCUUGAGAUAAUAUAGCAAGUGGUAGUAACCAAAAUAUUUGGAGCAUUUAUUUCACAGGGAAUAACAGGGAUAGGAAAAUGUUUUGACUAUUCUCUCCCGGAUUAGGAGUAGAAUAUUUUUGGGUGAUUCUGGAGAUGGAAAUGGAUGGAUAUAUGUGGAUGGUACUUCCGGAGUAGAAGUAGCAUAUAUGAGUGAACGUGCAAGUGAAUCUUGAUUUAACCACAUGACAAGCUCCUAAGGGUCUACAUAGCUUGACCACACUCAAUGCUCAUAAGCAGUAAAUAGUAAAUGUGUGGCUCAAAGUCUAGCAAGCAUGUAUAUAUGGCUAUGGUAGGAAUUUAAACUCUCAUCAUACAGGAACUCAUCAUGCAAUAUUUUAAUGAUUUUUCAAGAUAAAAUUUUCCAGAAUUCUAGCAUCUCUAGGAACAGAUAAACAGCAGCUCAACCUUCCCAUAUCAUAUCCGUUAACAACUUAGAUUUCAGAUCAAGUUUUCAUCCCACAAGUUUAGAUCAAGAGCAAGCUUUAAAUUAUAACAGUUAUGUCUAAACUUGAGAGGGAACUUCAAAAUUGCAAAUUAGGCAGAGCAACUAUUCAUCAUAUCCAUGCUAGAGUUUUAUUAUUAAGAUUCAGAUUAGCAUAGCCACUUUAUUUAUUUAUUUAUUAAACAUACUAAGCAAAAGAUAUAUAUAAACACAAAAUAUUUAUUUGGUUUUUCAUAGUUUAUGUAUUUUAAUAUUCUGACAUAAUAUAAGUAUAAAGAUAGGUAGAAAUACUUAGCGAGAAUAAUGGGGGUGCUUUCCCCCAAGCUGAAUUUUGACGUAAUUUCCCUUGAUGUAGCUAGCAGGUGACAGAGGUGUAUUUGAAAGUCAGCAGCAUUCUGACAGCGAUUAGAAUGUCCUCUGUCUGCUAGUCUUCUUGAUUCUUAAAUUCUGUGGAGCUCAAAUAGACAACAAAGCUUGUGGAACUAAUUAAGUGUUAGCAUAAAUAUCUAGCCUUCAUCAUGUUGAGCUUCCUUAAUAAAUGUUAUUUAUUUUGCAGGAUCAUACACUUAUUAUUAUUAUAUAUAUUUUUAUUGUAAGAUGAAAACUUAUUUAUUUUAUUUUUAUGCCACCACAUUGAAUGUACUUAUGGGUUUAUGCCAUGAGCAUACUCACAUGGGGCUUACUAUUUUUUAACAUUUUUAUUUUCUUUUCAAGAUAGAAUGAACCUGAUUAACUAAGCAAAUUAUAAUUGAAUAAUUAAAAGGAAAGGGUAACUACCAAGUUUACCGCUUGGCACGGCGUUCGGUAUUUUUAUGUCCUCCGAACGGGACUCUCUGUUUUCUCAGUCGUCCUGGGAUUCGCUAGGUGGCGUCGUCGGUGAUUCCGGCGGUGCCUCUCUUCGUGUAUAACUAUCUUCUCCCUCCACACCUGACUCGGUGCUACGGUCUCCUCAGGACAGUUCUGUUCAAGCUGUAUGUCUUCAGUCCUUAUCACUUUUCCUUCAUAGUCUACCCAUCCGUUCUUGAUGAUUUGCCUCCUCUUGGUUGCGGUUGCGUCGUCUUCAUGUCCUGACCUGCUUAGAGUCUUCAACUAUAUAGUUAUGGUUAGUAAAAUAGUUGCGUACCUUCUCAGAGGGGAAAUACAUGUGGACUUCUCCGAUUCUAAUGUAGAUGAUUGCUUUGAUAGUGUUGAGGAACGGUCUUCCAAGGAUGGUGGGUGGAUCAUAUUCGUCUUCUCCCAUGUCAAUGACCUAAAAAUUAUCUAGAGCUGAAUAUAUUGGUUGUAGGGGCAUGGUUCCAUGCAGGAGCUGAUAAGUGACUGCGGCCAUUAUGUUGUCGUCAGAUCCGGUGUCGUAGAGUGUCUUCUGAAAAGAGUAUCCAUUGAUUGCGCACUCGAUGAUUGGAACACCAGGGUCGUCCUUCUUGAUCAAGAAAGGUGACUUGAGUCGACGAUGUUGACCUCUUCCGACAAGGAUCCAAUGUUUUAAGUCUUCUGGACAAGACUUUCCACCAUCUUCAUCCUUUAGGUGCAUCAUUUGAUUAGGUGU